GCAGUAGAACGCUGAAGAGAGGAGCUUGCUCUUCUUGGAUGAGUUGCGAACGGGUGAGUAACGCGUAGGUAACCUGCCUUGUAGCGGGGGAUAACUAUUGGAAACGAUAGCUAAUACCGCAUAACAAUGGAUGACACAUGUCAUUUAUUUGAAAGGGGCAAUUGCUCCACUACAAGAUGGACCUGCGUUGUAUUAGCUAGUAGGUGAGGUAACGGCUCACCUAGGCGACGAUACAUAGCCGACCUGAGAGGGUGAUCGGCCACACUGGGACUGAGACACGGCCCAGACUCCUACGGGAGGCAGCAGUAGGGAAUCUUCGGCAAUGGGGGCAACCCUGACCGAGCAACGCCGCGUGAGUGAAGAAGGUUUUCGGAUCGUAAAGCUCUGUUGUAAGUCAAGAACGAGUGUGAGAGUGGAAAGUUCACACUGUGACGGUAGCUUACCAGAAAGGGACGGCUAACUACGUGCCAGCAGCCGCGGUAAUACGUAGGUCCCGAGCGUUGUCCGGAUUUAUUGGGCGUAAAGCGAGCGCAGGCGGUUUGAUAAGUCUGAAGUUAAAGGCUGUGGCUCAACCAUAGUUCGCUUUGGAAACUGUCAAACUUGAGUGCAGAAGGGGAGAGUGGAAUUCCAUGUGUAGCGGUGAAAUGCGUAGAUAUAUGGAGGAACACCGGUGGCGAAAGCGGCUCUCUGGUCUGUAACUGACGCUGAGGCUCGAAAGCGUGGGGAGCGAACAGGAUUAGAUACCCUGGUAGUCCACGCCGUAAACGAUGAGUGCUAGGUGUUGGAUCCUUUCCGGGAUUCAGUGCCGCAGCUAACGCAUUAAGCACUCCGCCUGGGGAGUACGACCGCAAGGUUGAAACUCAAAGGAAUUGACGGGGGCCCGCACAAGCGGUGGAGCAUGUGGUUUAAUUCGAAGCAACGCGAAGAACCUUACCAGGUCUUGACAUCCCGAUGCUAUUUCUAGAGAUAGAAAGUUACUUCGGUACAUCGGUGACAGGUGGUGCAUGGUUGUCGUCAGCUCGUGUCGUGAGAUGUUGGGUUAAGUCCCGCAACGAGCGCAACCCCUAUUGUUAGUUGCCAUCAUUCAGUUGGGCACUCUAGCGAGACUGCCGGUAAUAAACCGGAGGAAGGUGGGGAUGACGUCAAAUCAUCAUGCCCCUUAUGACCUGGGCUACACACGUGCUACAAUGGUUGGUACAACGAGUUGCGAGUCGGUGACGGCAAGCUAAUCUCUUAAAGCCAAUCUCAGUUCGGAUUGUAGGCUGCAACUCGCCUACAUGAAGUCGGAAUCGCUAGUAAUCGCGGAUCAGCACGCCGCGGUGAAUACGUUCCCGGGCCUUGUACACACCGCCCGUCACACCACGAGAGUUUGUAACACCCGAAGUCGGUGAGGUAACCUUUGGAGCCAGCCGCCUAAG
rnacentral:rRNA from 1 species